UCCGCAUGGAGUUUCCACUAAAGGUUUUUCCGGCCGCGGAUCGAGGAUGCGUAUGAUUAGGUAGUAGGCGGGUAAGGCCCACCUAGCCUUCGAUCCAUUAGGGGUUCUGAGAGGAAGGUCCCCCACACUGGAACUGAGACACGGACCAGACUCCUACGGGAGGCAGCAGUGAGGAAUAUUGGUCAAUGGAGGGAACUCUGAACCAGCCAUCUCGCGUGAAGGAUUACGGCCCUACGGGUCUUAAACUUCUUUUAUAGGGGGAUAAAGUCACAUACGUGUAUGUGAUUGCAGGUACCCUAUGAAUAAGCAUCGGCUAACUCCGUG
rnacentral:rRNA from 1 species